rnacentral:rRNA from 1 species
UACGGAGGGUGCAAGCGUUAUCCGGAUUCACUGGGUUUAAAGGGUGCGUAGGUGGGCUGGUAAGUCAGUGGUGAAAUCUCCAGGCUUAACUUGGAAACUGCCAUUGAUACUAUCAGUCUUGAAUACCGUGGAGGUCAGCGGAAUAUGUCAUGUAGCGGUGAAAUGCUUAGAUAUGACAUAGAAGCAACAUUGCGAAGGCAGCUGGCUACACGAAUAUUGACACUGAUGCACGAAAGCGUGGGGAUCAAACAGG